GUGGGGAAUAUUGGACAAUGGGCGAAAGCCUGAUCCAGCAAUGCCGCGUGAGUGAUGAAGGCCUUAGGGUUGUAAAGCUCUUUUACCCGGGAUGAUAAUGACAGUACCGGGAGAAUAAGCCCCGGCUAACUCCGUGCCAGCAACCGCGGUAAUACGGAGGGGGCUAGCGUUGUUCGGAAUUACUGGGCGUAAAGCGCGCGUAGGCGGCUUUGUAAGUUAGAGGUGAAAGCCCGGAGCUCAACUCCGGAACUGCCUUUAAGACUGCAUCGCUAGAAUUGUGGAGAGGUGAGUGGAAUUCCGAGUGUAGAGGUGAAAUUCGUAGAUAUUC
rnacentral:rRNA from 1 species